GGAGGAAGAGAAAGAAAAUUCGAUUCCCUUAGUAGCGGCGAGCGAAACGGGAAGAGCCCAAACCAACAAGCUUGCUUGUUGGGGUUGUAGGACACUCUAUACGGAGUUACAAAGGACGACAUUAGACGAAUCAUCUGGAAAGAUGAAUCAAAGAAGGUAAUAAUCCUGUAGUCGAAAAUGUUGUCUCUCUUGAGUGGAUCCUGAGUACGACGGAGCACGUGAAAUUCCGUCGGAAUCUGGGAGGACCAUCUCCUAAGGCUAAAUACUCUCUAGUGACCGAUAGUGAACCAGUACCGUGAGGGAAAGGUGAAAAGCACCCCGGAAGGGGAGUGAAAUAGAACCUGAAACCGUGUGCUUACAAGUAGUCAGAGCCCGUUAAUGGGUGAUGGCGUGCCUUUUGUAGAAUGAACCGGCGAGUUACGAUUUGAUGCAAGGUUAAGCAGUAAAUGUGGAGCCGUAGCGAAAGCGAGUCUGAAUAGGGCGUUUAGUAUUUGGUCGUAGACCCGAAACCAGGUGAUCUACCCUUGGUCAGGUUGAAGUUCAGGUAACACUGAAUGGAGGACCGAACCGACUUACGUUGAAAAGUGAGCGGAUGAACUGAGGGUAGCGGAGAAAUUCCAAUCGAACCUGGAGAUAGCUGGUUCUCUCCGAAAUAGCUUUAGGGCUAGCCUCAAGUGAUGAUUAUUGGAGGUAGAGCACUGUUUGGACGAGGGGCCCCUCUCGGGUUACCGAAUUCAGACAAACUCCGAAUGCCAAUUAAUUUAACUUGGGAGUCAGAACAUGGGUGAUAAGGUCCGUGUUCGAAAGGGAAACAGCCCAGACCACCAGCUAAGGUCCCAAAAUAUAUGUUAAGUGGAAAAGGAUGUGGCGUUGCCCAGACAACUAGGAUGUUGGCUUAGAAGCAGCCAUCAUUUAAAGAGUGCGUAAUAGCUCACUAGUCGAGUGACACUGCGCCGAAAAUGUACCGGGGCUAAACAUAUUACCGAAGCUGUGGAUUGUCCUUUGGACAAUGGUAGGAGAGCGUUCUAAGGGCGUUGAAGCAUGAUCGUAAGGACAUGUGGAGCGCUUAGAAGUGAGAAUGCCGGUGUGAGUAGCGAAAGACGGGUGAGAAUCCCGUCCACCGAUUGACUAAGGUUUCCAGAGGAAGGCUCGUCCGCUCUGGGUUAGUCGGGUCCUAAGCUGAGGCCGACAGGCGUAGGCGAUGGAUAACAGGUUGAUAUUCCUGUACCACCUAUAAUCGUUUUAAUCGAUGGGGGGACGCAGUAGGAUAGGCGAAGCGUGCGAUUGGAUUGCACGUCUAAGCAGUAAGGCUGAGUAUUAGGCAAAUCCGGUACUCGUUAAGGCUGAGCUGUGAUGGGGAGAAGACAUUGUGUCUUCGAGUCGUUGAUUUCACACUGCCGAGAAAAGCCUCUAGAUAGAAAAUAGGUGCCCGUACCGCAAACCGACACAGGUAGUCAAGAUGAGAAUUCUAAGGUGAGCGAGCGAACUCUCGUUAAGGAACUCGGCAAAAUGACCCCGUAACUUCGGGAGAAGGGGUGCUCUUUAGGGUUAACGCCCAGAAGAGCCGCAGUGAAUAGGCCCAAGCGACUGUUUAUCAAAAACACAGGUCUCUGCUAAACCGUAAGGUGAUGUAUAGGGGCUGACGCCUGCCCGGUGCUGGAAGGUUAAGAGGAGUGGUUAGCUUCUGCGAAGCUACGAAUCGAAGCCCCAGUAAACGGCGGCCGUAACUAUAACGGUCCUAAGGUAGCGAAAUUCCUUGUCGGGUAAGUUCCGACCCGCACGAAAGGCGUAACGAUUUGGGCACUGUCUCAACGAGAGACUCGGUGAAAUCAUAGUACCUGUGAAGAUGCAGGUUACCCGCGACAGGACGGAAAGACCCCGUGGAGCUUUACUGUAGCCUGAUAUUGAAAUUCGGCACAGCUUGUACAGGAUAGGUAGGAGCCUUUGAAACGUGAGCGCUAGCUUACGUGGAGGCGCUGGUGGGAUACUACCCUAGCUGUGUUGG
rnacentral:rRNA from 1 species